CGCCUCUUGCAUAUAUUAUAAGAGGUCUUGCCUGCCCAGUGACGCMAGUUUAACGGCCGCGGUAUUUUGACCGUGCAAAGGUAGCGUAAUCAAUCGUCUUUUAAAUGGAGACCUGUAUGAAUGGUGAAACGAAAACUCAACUGUCUCAUUCUUCCAACCAAUGAAAUUGAUCUCUCCGUGCAGAAGCGGGGAUAAACCCAUAAGACAAAAAGACCCUGUGGAGCUUUAGACUUCUGACUAUGUCUUAGAUUGGGGCGAUCACGGAGAAAACACACCCUCCACGAAGAAAAACAUAAUUAAGAGCUACCGCUCUAAAUACUAAAAUAUUUAACUUUAUGAACCGGGCUACCGAUUAACGAAUCCAGUUACCCCAGGGAUAACAGCGCAAUCCCCUUAAAGAGCACUUAUCACCAAGGGGGUUUACGACCUCGAUGUUGGAUCAGGACAUCCUAAUGGCGUAUCUACUAUUAAGGGUUCGUUUGUUCAACGAUUAAAGUCCU
rnacentral:rRNA from 1 species